rnacentral:rRNA from 1 species
GUCUUUUUGAUUUUAAUUUAAAGUCUGACCUGCCCAAUGAUUAUUUGAAUGGCCGCAGUAUUUUGACUGUGCAAAGGUAGCAUAAUCAUUAGUUUUUUAAUUGAAAGCUGGAAUGAAUGGUUUGAUGAGGAAAUAGCUGUCUCAAUUUAAUUGAAUUAGAAUUUUAAUUUUGAGUUAAAAAGCUUAAAUUAUUUAUAAAGACGAGAAGACCCUAUAGAGUUUAAUAUUUUAAUUUUUAAUUUAUUUGAGGUUUUAGUAAUUUUUUAUAAGUUAGGAUAUUUUGUUGGGGUGAUGUAAAAAUUUAAAUAACUUUUUAUUUUUUAAGACAUUUAUUUAUGAAUAUUUGAUCCUGAUUUUUGGAUUAUAAGAUUAAAUUACCUUAGGGAUAACAGCGUAAUUUUUUCGGAGAGUUCUUAUCAAUGAAAAAGUUUGCG